GCAGUAGUAGUAGUGGUAGUAGCACGCGUUCCCGAUAUGGAUGAAACGCGGGUUCGAUUCUCGUCUGAGGCC